rnacentral:rRNA from 1 species
ACGGAAGGCAGCAGUGGGGAAUAUUGCACAAUGGGGGAAACCCUGAUGCAGCGACGCCGCGUGAGUGAAGGAGUAUUUCGGUAUGUAAAGCUCUAUCAGCAGGAAAGAAAAUGACGGUACCUGACUAAGAAGCCCCGGCUAACUACGUGCCAGCAGCCGCGGUAAUACGUAGGGGGCAAGCGUUAUCCGGAUUUACUGGGUGUAAAGGGAGCGUAGACGGCUUUGCAAGUCUGAAGUGAAAGCCCGGGGCUCAACCCCGGAACUGCUUUGGAAACUGUAGAGCUAGAGUGCAGGAGAGGUAAGUGGAAUUCCUAGUGUAGCGGUGAGAUGCGUAGAUAUUAGGAGGAACACCAGUGGCGAAGGCGGCUUACUGGACUGUAACUGACGUUGAGGCUCGAAGGCGUGGGGAGCAAACAGGAUUAGAUACCCUGGUA